rnacentral:rRNA from 1 species
UAAGCAUAUCAAUAAGCGGAGGAAAAGAACCAACAGGGAUUGCCCUAGUAACGGCGAGUGAAGCGGCAACAGCUCAAAUUUGAAAUCUGGCGUCUUUGGCGUCCGAGUUGUAAUUUGCAGAGGGCGCUUUGGCAUUGGCAGCGGUCCAAGUUCCUUGGAACAGGACGUCACAGAGGGUGAGAAUCCCGUACGUGGUCGCUAGCCUUUACCGUGUAAAGCCCCUUCGACGAGUCGAGUUGUUUGGGAAUGCAGCUCUAAAUGGGAGGUAAAUUUCUUCUAAAGCUAAAUACUGGCCAGAGACCGAUAGCGCACAAGUAGAGUGAUCGAAAGAUGAAAAGCACUUUGGAAAGAGAGUUAAAAAGCACGUGAAAUUGUUGAAAGGGAAGCGCUUGCAGCCAGACUUGCCUGUAGUUGCUCAUCCGGGUUUUUACCCGGUGCACUCUUCUAUAGGCAGGCCAGCAUCAGUUUGGGCGGUUGGAUAAAGGUCUCUGUCAUGUACCUCUCUUCGGGGAGAACUUAUAGGGGAGACGACAUGCAACCAGCCUGGACUGAGGUCCGCGCAUCUGCUAGGAUGCUGGCGUAAUGGCUGUAAGCGGCCCGUCUUGAAACACGGACCAAGGAGUCUAACAUCUAUGCGAGUGUUUGGGUGUCAAGCCCGAGCGCGUAAUGAAAGUGAACGGAGGUGGGAACCUUUCGGGGUGCACCAUCGACCGAUCCUGAUGUCUUCGGAUGGAUUUGAGUAAGAGCAUAGCUGUUGGGACCCGAAAGAUGGUGAACUAUGCUUGAAUAGGGUGAAGCCAGAGGAAACUCUGGUGGAGGCUCGCAGCGGUUCUGACGUGCAAAUCGAUCGUCAAAUUUGGGCAUAGGGGCGAAAGACUAAUCGAACUAUCUAGUAGCUGGUUCCUGCCGAAU